rnacentral:rRNA from 1 species
UACGGAGGAUUCGAGCGUUAUCCGGAUUUAUUGGGUGUAAAGGGCGCGUAGGCGGACUGGUAAGUCAGCUGUGAAAGUUUACGGCUCAACCGUGGAAUUGCAGUUGAUACUGUUGGUCUUGAGUACGCAUGAGGUGGGUGGAAUUUGUGGUGUAGCGGUGAAAUGCGUAGAUAUCAGGAGGAACUCCAAUUGCGAAGGCAGCUCACUGGGGUAUAACUGACGCUGAUGCACGAAGGUGUGGGUAGCAAACAGG